CAGAAAAGUCGAACAGAGCAUUUUGGCCAAUUGGGGAUUGCGGAAGUUUUCCAGCGCGAACAUGGUGGUGGUUCAAGAGGUUGCCACUCUCUGACUCUGAUCAUGAAUCGCCCGGAGACUGGAUGAGAGAGCUGAAGUCACUGGUACAGUAGCUGAUCAUUGUAUGAACUGGACAUACAUGGAGGCUGUUCUCAUCGAGAGACAAUAAAUAUCUCAGAAACUCA